CGAGCGGAAAGGCUCCUUCGGGGGUACUCGAGCGGCGAACGGGUGAGUAACACGUGAGUAAUCUGCCCUUGGCUUCGGGAUAGCCACCGGAAACGGUGAUUAAUACCGGAUACGACACAUCACUGCAUGGUGCGUGUGUGGAAAGUUUUUUCGGCCAGGGAUGUGCUCGCGGCCUAUCAGCUUGUUGGUGGGGUAAUGGCCUACCAAGGCUUCGACGGGUAGCCGGCCUGAGAGGGUGACCGGCCACACUGGGACUGAGACACGGCCCAGACUCCUACGGGAGGCAGCAGUGGGGAAUAUUGGACAAUGGGCGGAAGCCUGAUCCAGCAACGCCGCGUGAGGGAUGACGGCCUUCGGGUUGUAAACCUCUUUCAGCACAGACGAAGCGCAAGUGACGGUAUGUGCAGAAGAAGGACCGGCCAACUACGUGCCAGCAGCCGCGGUAAUACGUAGGGUCCGAGCGUUGUCCGGAAUUAUUGGGCGUAAAGGGCUCGUAGGCGGUUUGUCGCGUCGGGAGUGAAAACACCGGGCUUAACUCGGUGCUUGCUUCCGAUACGGGCAGACUAGAGGCAUUCAGGGGAGAACGGAAUUCCUGGUGUAGCGGUGAAAUGCGCAGAUAUCAGGAGGAACACCGGUGGCGAAGGCGGUUCUCUGGGAAUGUCCUGACGCUGAGGAGCGAAGUGUGGGGAGCGAACAGG
rnacentral:rRNA from 1 species